AGGCCUACAGAAAUAACAUUUUAAAAAAAAUUGAGAUAGAAAUGACAAUCAUUAAGAACAAUGGUAUGGGACUCAAAUACAAGUUUCAAGAUUUCUAAUGCUAGAACUAGAACUGGUCUUCCAUCUCCAACGUUCAGGAACCUCUCGCCUUGCUCAAAUUUUCGACUGACUUGCAACCCCUGCAAUGAAUUGCAAAUAUGGUAUGGGUUACCGAUAUCCAAUACCCAAUCAGUUAUAUCACAAAUAGAGAAAUUGCAAGAAGUUAUCAUAUAAAUACCUUGCCCAGCAACAGCUUGCUUCUUUCUCUGCCUGUUCGGAUCUAGGGAGGCAAUGUACUGAGGAUAUUUUCUCUUCCAGUGCCCCCACUUCUUGUAAAAGAAGCAUUCAGUUUAACUCUUAUCAGGCUUGAUCUUUCUGGUCUGGUCCUGCACUGAUGUCCCAGUCUGAACUUGCAUCUUCUUCACUUUCUUCUUCUUGUUCUUCUUUCCUUUCUCAAAAGGUCGAGAACCAGAAGAUGAACCUCCCACUAAGUGUUGGAAAUAGUAUCCCAAAG
rnacentral:lncRNA from 1 species